CCUACGGGUUGCACCAGUGGGGAAUAUUGCACAAUGGGCGCAAGCCUGAUGCAGCCAUGCCGCGUGUAUGAAGAAGGCCUUCGGGUUGUAAAGUACUUUCAGCGGGGAGGAAGGCGAUAAGGUUAAUAACCUUGGCGAUUGACGUUACCCGCAGAAAAAGCACCGGCUAACUCCGUGCCAGCAGCCGCGGUAAUACGGAGGGUGCAAGCGUUAAUCGGAAUUACUGGGCGUAAAGCGCACGCAGGCGGUCUGUCAAGUCGGAUGUGAAAUCCCCGGGCUCAACCUGGGAACUGCAUUCGAAACUGGCAGGCUAGAGUCUUGUAGAGGGGGUAGAAUUCCAGGUGUAGCGGUGAAAUGCGUAGAGAUCUGGAGGAAUACCGGUGGCGAAGGCGGCCCCCUGGACAAAGACUGACGCUCAGGUGCGAAAGCGCGGGGAGCAAACAGGAUUAGAUACCCUCGUAGUC
rnacentral:rRNA from 1 species